GAUAUCAAAAGUGUAUCAACUUUAACAUAUAAAUAGGAGGAAAUAGAUAGCAGAAAAUUCCUCAUCCUCAUGAGUUCAUAUCCUCAAUAAACUUUGCUGUUUUUACAAGUUAAUAUAACAACAAUUGAAUAGGAGAGUGAAGUCAUAAAUCCGUAGGACAAAAUGGAGAACCAAGUAGAUGGUUCAUUAGGAGGCACGUAUAAGCCAUUCUUUGCUGCAGUUUUCUUGCAAGUUGAGUUUGCAGUCAUGAAUAUCUUAUCUACGACUGCAUUAAACCUGGGGAUGAGCCAGUUACGUACUGGUUGUUUACCGCCAUGCAAUUGCCACCCUUGUUAUGGCUCCUUUCGCUGCUUUUCUUGACAAGAAAAUGAGGCCUAAGAUGACCAUCUUCAUCCAAAUAAUGGUGCCAUAAUUCGAAUAUUGUUUUAUUUUUGAACACAAUAUCUGAAAAUUGCAUGGUUGCAGGGUAUUGUAUGUUCACGACUUGCUUAUUACAUUCAAGGGAUGAUAAUGAAACACAGAGGUCCAGUAUUUGUGACAGCUUUUAGUCCCCUAUGCAUGAUUAUUGUAGCCAUUAUGUCCUCUUUCAUUCUGGCUGAACACAGAGGAGUAGAUUGUUUGGAUGAAGAUUCUCAUGGUCAUCUUAGGCCUCAUUUUCCUGUCAAACAAAAAACAGGAGUAGAUAGCUAAAAAGGUAAAAUGGGCAUGAAUGGACUUUAAGAGAGGAAGAAGAAGAAGAAUAUACUUGUCAAGAAAAGCAGCGAAAGGAGCCAUAACAAGGGUGGCAAUGGCAUGGCAGUAAACAACCAGUACGUAAAUUGCUCAUCCCCAGGAUUAAUGCAGUCUUAGAUAAGAUAUCCAUGACUGCAAACCCAACUUGCAAGAAAACUGCAGCAAAGAAUGGCUUACACCUGCCUCCUAAUGAACCAUCUACUUGGUUCUCCAGUUUUAUCUUAUCGAUUUAUGACUCUACUCUCCAAUUCAGUUGUUAUAAUAUUAACUUGUAAAAUAAGCCAAGUUUGUCGAGGAGAUGAACUCACGAGGAUGAGGAAUUUUAUGCUAUCUAUUUCUUCCUAAUAUGCUAAAGUUAAUGCACUUUUGAUAUCUUGAUUGGGUAAGAACUUUUAGAGACUAAUUAAUAUAAAUUUCUAAUGAAAUUAGGAUUGAUUGUCCUUGUACUAUUGAAUAUCUUGACCAUUGAUUAAAAUUUAUA